rnacentral:rRNA from 1 species
AUUGAACGCUGGCGGCAUGCCUUACACAUGCAAGUCGAACGGCAGCAUGGGUGCUCGUCCCUGGUGGCUAGUGGCUAACGGGUGAGUAAUACAUCGUAACAUGUCUUGCUGUGGGGGAUAGCUCGGUGAGAGCAGGUUUAAUACCGCCUACGUUCUACGGAUGAAAGCGGGUGUCCUUCGUUCCUGGCGCAUUACGUUUGGCCGGUGGCUGAUUAGCUAGUUGGUUGGGUAAAUGCCUACCAAGGCGGCGGUCAGUAGCUGGGCUGAGAGGGAGACCAGCCACACUGGGACUGGGACACGGCCCAGACUCCUACGGGAAGGAGCAGUGGGGAAAUUUGGAGAAAGGGCGAAAGCCUGAUCGAGGAAUGCCGCGUGUGUUAAGAAGGGCUUCGGGUUGGAAAACACUUUUGUCCGGAAAGAAAGGCAUGGAGCUAAAAAGGUCGGGGGAUGACGGUACCGGAAGAAUAAGCAACGGCUAACUACGUG